rnacentral:rRNA from 1 species
CAACAUGAGAGUUUGAUCCUGGCUCAGGAUGAACGCUGGCGGCGUGCUUAACACAUGCAAGUCGAACGAAGCAGUCUUGAUGAAGCCUUCGGGUGGAAUUGAGAUUGACUGAGUGGCGGACGGGUGAGUAAC